CCUACGGGGAGCAGCAGUGAGGCAUAUUGGUCAAUGGACGAGAGUCUGAACCAGCCAAGUAGCGUGAAGGAUGACUGCCCUAUGGGUUGUAAACUUCUUUUAUAUGGGAAUAAAAUGUUCCACGUGUGGGAGUUUGUAUGUACCAUAUGAAUAAGGAUCGGCUAACUCCGUGCCAGCAGCCGCGGUAAUAAGGAGUAUCCUAGCGUUAUCCGGAUUUAUUGGGUUUAAAGGGAGCGUAGGUGGAUUGUUAAGGAAGUUGUUAAAGUUGGCGGGUCAACCGUAAAAUUGCAGUUGAAACUGGCAGUCUUGAGUACAGUAGAGGUGGGCGGAAUUCGUGGUGUAGCGGUGAAAUGCUUAGAUAUCACGAAGAACUCCGAUUGCGAAGGCAGCUCACUGGACUGCAACUGACACUGAGGCUCGAAAGUGUGGGUAUCAAACAGGAUUAGAUACCCCGGUAGUC
rnacentral:rRNA from 1 species